rnacentral:rRNA from 1 species
GUCUUCGGAUUUGUGGAAGUGGCGAACGGGUGCGUAACACGUGAGCAACCUGCCCUUGAGUACGGAAUACCCCUUCGAAAGAGGGAACAAUACCGUAUGUGUCCUUUCCUCGCAUGGGGAAAUGGUUAAAGGUGGGUCCUUCGGGGCCUAUCGCUCUUGGAUGGGCUCGCGGCCUAUCAGCUUGUUGGUGAGGUAACGGCUCACCAAGGCUAAGACGGGUAGCUGGUCUGAGAGGAUGAUCAGCCACACCGGGACUGAGACACGGCCCGGACACCUACGGGUGGCAGCAGUUUCGAAUCAUUCACAAUGGGCGAAAGCCUGAUGGUGCAAUGCCGCGUGGAGGAUGAAGGCCUUAGGGUCGUAAACUCCUGUCAUUGGGGAAUAAUUGCCAAGCGAAUAAUACCGCUUGGUUUGAACUAACCCAAAGAGGAAGAGGUGGCUAACUCCGUGCCAGCAGCCGCGGUAAUACGGAGACCUCGAGCGUUACUCGGAUUCACUGGGCGUAAAGGGUGAGUAGGCGGCCAGGUAUGUCGGGUGUGAAAUCCCGGGGCUUAACCCCGGAACUGCGCCCGAAACUACUUGGCUAGAGUCUCGGAGAGGAUAGUGGAAUUCCAGGUGUAGCGGUGAAAUGCGUAGAUAUCUGGAGGAAC